rnacentral:lncRNA from 1 species
UGACAAAUCAACAGGAUUAACUAUAUAUCACAUUGGUGAAACUAUAGAUAAAUGGGCCCUGUCACUUUCUGCUCACAGAUAGUACCCAUUUGGACAAUUUUCUUAACAAUACCUUACACAGAAAAGUUAAAAUUUAAUGCUUUUGACUCUUUUCAGUUCUGAGAGUUUAUUCCAAUAAUUUUAUCAGACAGAAACUUAAAGAUAUAUGUACAAGGGAAGUUUUAUUACAGAAAUUCUUAAGAUAACAAAUUUAGAAAUUACCUAAAUUCAUAAAAUAAAUUCUAGUACACCUAUUAAAAGGAAUAUUGGGUAGCUAUUAAAUGUGGAAACAAUGCACAGCAGAGGCAGCCAGUUGAGACCCAAUAUUGUUUUUUCCUUUCCUAAUAGAAUCCCCAGUAUUUAGCUAAUCAUGUGGUAACAUGCAAUGAAUAUGUCACUUUUCAUCUCAUUGCUAAGGGUUGCUCUGUUACUAAAUUCUGGUUGAUGGCUUAUAAGCAUAAAUGAUUCCCUGAAAGGGAGGGCAAAUGUGUUUUUUUCCUCUCUUCCUCCUUGUUGGCUGGAGUAUGCUUUUAAUAGUAGUAAUGGCUGUAGUUCCGGUAGCCACCUUGAACCAAGAGGUGACCUUUGAAAGGCAGGCACUCACAGAGGAGUGACAGAAAAGACAGCUGGUGGCAGUGGGCAGGUGGGACGGACAAAGGAUGAGAAAAAUCAGAAAAUUAUGUAAAUAUGGCACCCUAAAGUUGCACCAUAGAUUGUCAUCCCGAAGAUUUCUGAAUUUAUUCCAUUUAUGUCACCUAUUCUUCACAUAUCUGUUACUCAAUUUAAUUCUAGGUGAUUAUUUUUAAGGAAAAUUGAAAAGCAGGUCAUAGAGUGGCUUGUACAGUAUGCUUCUCAUUGUAUAUGUCUUUGUAUGUGAGGAGACAAAGAAAGACAGAAAGGUGAAAAUGAGAGAACAUAUGGCAUCUUGUGGAACAUAGAUGAUUUUCACUUCCCUCUUUAUAAUUUUUAGUUCUGUUUGGAUAGUUUUACAAAAUUGCCAGUGUUCUCAAGAUUAAAACAAAAUAAAGAGUUUUUAGUUUGCAUAACUAAGCCUUCAUCUAGAUGAAAAGUUAAAAUAAUCACUACACACAUGCAAACAUAUAUUGGUAAUUUAUUUUAAAAAUUUACAUCAUUUUGAUAGUUUUUAAUAGUAACUAUUAAGGAUUAAACAGGCUGGCCUUUAUAUGUGCUUAUAGGUUAACUUAUAGGUGAACUCAGGUAUAAAACAUGUUCAAGUAUUAUUGGUUUAUUAAAAAAUAUCAUUUGUAGCUCCCUAAAAAAUAUGUAUUAUUAAAAAUAUCCUAUGAAAUAAUGAAAAAUAAAUCAAGAAAGAUGAGAAUCCCUUCUAUAAAUAUAAAUAUGGGAUUUCAAAAUCAACUAUUAGCAAAAUUAUUUUAAGUGUAGAAGAAAUAAAUAAACCUACAUUACAAAGAUGUCAUACUAAGAAAGCAAUCACUGCUUCAUAUUAGACCACUGGCUAGUAUGAUCAUAUAAGUAUUCUAAAUACAAAGAUUAUACUUUCCAUUUAUUCUAUCUAUUCUACAUGAGGACUUCAAAUAACACUGAGAGAUGAAUCAUAUGAAAAAUAGCAAUGUAAAUAUACAUUUAAUUAUAUAAAAG